CGCCUUUUCUCUCUACCCGCUUUCUGGAACGAACGAGAACUCAAUGAGUGAGUUCUGGACCUUCACUCUGCCGAUUCAACUCUCUCAGAGUUGAAGUCUCUCUACUUGCACAUUCUCGUUCUCAAAGCCGCACCUUAACUUUUCUUUGCCGAUUCAACUCUCUCAACUCGAAGUCUCCCAUCACACUGGUGAACAAUCUCUUUCACAUUUGGGCAUUUUCAGUUUAGUUUCUUGCUGCUUUGAUUUCAAAAUCAAAAUUCUCGUUCUCGUGGGGCUCUUGCCGGGCUUGCUAUUGCAAUAGUAUUUACCUGGAGAUUGUUCAGAACUCCACCCAGGCAUCAAAGAAGACAACCUAAGCGGUUGGCUCCAAUACUUCUGGUGUGAAUACUCGUUCAGAUGGAGCUCCAGUUUCUCCUGGAAUUUGCUCUUCCGAGGAUUCAAGAGCUCAGAAUGUGAUUGAUGAGUUCUCUCAACCAGUAAAGCCAACGCUAGGACAAAUAGUAAGGCAAAAGUUGAGUGAGGGAAGGAAGAUCAAUCCUGCAUUACUUGGUAUCAAAGUAGUUAGUCCCUCAUCUAGAAGUAAUCUGCACUUCCAUGAAACUGCACAGAGACUGUAGAUGCUGGGAUAGUUGAUGAUGAGUGCAGGAGAGUGUGGUGAGAGAGGCAACUGCUGCCUUGUGCUAUUUGUAGACAUGGCUAGUUUGAAACCAUUUAAGGCAUUAAUUUGAAUGUUAGCAUAAAUUCACAUUUUGGUAGUAUGAAGUGGAGGGUGUGGUGGGGUGCACUACUUGAACAAGGCAAUUCCUAAAGAAAAGACACUCUUGUCAGUUUUAGCUGUUAGGAGAGGUUUUGAUUUGAUUGGUGAAUUUGAUUUAUUUGAUCACAUGUAUUUAACAUCUCAAAGGCAAAAGCCAAAAGCCCACCACAUGCAUGCUUUAUUUAUUAGUUGCAGCUGGCUUUUAGGGAUGGUGGUCAUUGUGCUGGUUUACAACAGUAUUCUCCAUUAACAAUUGUCCUCUGUCAAUAAGAUAAAUAGCUCUUAUGUUUUUAAUUCCUUUCGAGUGAGGUAGAGAUAGAGGCGUAGAGCAAUUACAUCUAGUACUCUUUGAAUAAAGACUUGGAUAAGGAGUUUGGUCGAACAGGUUAAAAUACAAAGGGUACCCUCACACCAAGAGGUCAACAAAUCUGGUAUAUUUAUUAAUUAUUGAGCCAUGCAUUGCUGGUUGCAUUAUAACCAUAUAAAUUAGCUCAGCAGCCCUAAAUACUGGGUCGGUCGAGUUUGAUCUUAAUUAAUUUUCUGUUAGAUAUUUAUGUUGGUUUAAAUUUAUAUCAGAAUUGUGUCCAACCACAAUGGUGGUGGGUUGAGUAGGUGGUUUCAGGGUUGACUGAUUAAGGAACCGUUCAACUUCAUGAUUGCAAAGAAUGCAUGAUAAGGUGGUUUCAGAAUUGCAAAGAAUGCAUGAUUGCAAGGAACUGUUCAACCACAAUCUAGGGAAAAAAUACAUUUUAUUGAGACCCUCGUAGACAUUUCAGGGUUGACUGAUUAAGGAAGGGUAAGCUUGAAACAAAUUCUGAUUGAUGACCCAUAUCGUGUUCAUAUCAAUCAUAAGGGGAGCAUUAUUUGAACUGCUUACACUGCCAUAAUCUUUAGUAGGUUUGCCAAGAAUCAGCAGGCUUUCCUCUGAAAAAGUGAGUAAAAUUGGAACUUGAUCUGCUGGCUCACCACAGUCACCAUGCCUCCUAGUUUGAUCUGGUGUACAAGAACAACUUUGAUACCACCUUACUAGAGAGAUGGCAUCUUAUUGGCACUUGGUAACAUGUGGAUUUACUCUGUAGUCUGUACAUAGUACUUAGUACCACAAAAGUGUGUGUGUGUGAGAGAGAGAGAGAGAGAGAGGAAAAGAAAAAGAAAAGUUCCCUAUGAUUUGCUUGGCUUCAUGGAACCUCCACCAAUGCUAAUUUGCUACAUUGCCCUUGACCUUCUGUCUUCUCUGUAAGGCCAAAAGGCCAUUACCCAGUGUUGGUCUGUUAUUGUAUAAAUAGAGGCAGAAAGGGCAGAAAAAUAGAGGCCAAAAGGUAGAAAAACAAAGGCCAAAAGGCCAAAAUCUGCCAAUCAGUUUAUAGAUUGAGGGAGGACAACCAGGAGAGAUUAAAUGGUUGAGAACAUGACAAGAUAAACUCCCAGCCCAAAAAAAAAAAAAAAAAAUCUAGUUCUCCUCUAGUAACCUCUUACCUGGUAAGGCAGUCAACAGACAACAACAAGGACAUUAGCAGAUUCUAAUAUCCAAUAGAACUAGAUAAUCAGAUUGGAUUCUACCAACCUUUCUUCUCUCAGUAAAUGUUUAAUAGCUCGAUAAUUAUGUUGCUCUCGAUGAUAUCCUGUUUAUUUAUUUAUUUUUAAAGAUUGGAUUCUAACAACCUCAAUAAAUGUUUAUUUUUUUAAGAUAACUUGCAUUAUAAACAGAAAGAGGAAGGGCAUACAUGGGAGGAUGUAAGUGGGACCCACAAGUAAUAUCUGCAUAUUUGAAUGUGUUAUUAGGUCCCACACAUAAUAUUAACACGUAUGUAAGAAGAACCGAUAAGCAUGUUUGCCAAACGGUUUAUCUAUCUCUAUGCCAUCUAUUAUUAGAUCCAAAGGUAUAAUAUUAUAUCUAGUUUUUAUUAACAAGAUGCA